AGUGAACGCUGGCGGUAGGCCUAACACAUGCAAGUCGAACGGCAGCACAGUAAGAGCUUGCUCUUACGGGUGGCGAGUGGCGGACGGGUGAGGAAUACAUCGGCAUCUACUUUUUCGUGGGGGAUAACGUAGGGAAACUUACGCUAAUACCGCAUACGACCUACGGGUGAAAGCAGGGGAUCUUCGGACCUUGCGCGAUUGAAUGAGCCGAUGUCGGAUUAGCUAGUUGGCGGGGUAAAGGCACACCAAGGCGACGAUCCGUAGCUGGUCUGAGAGGAUGAUCAGCCACACUGGAACUGAGACACGGUCCAGACUCCUACGGGAGGCAGCAGUGGGGAAUAUUGGACAAUGGGCGCAAGCCUGAUCCAGCCAUACCGCGUGGGUGAAGAAGGCCUUCGGGUUGUAAAGCCCUUUUGUUGGGAAAGAAAAGCAGCAGGUUAAUACCCCGCUGUUCUGACGGUACCCAAAGAAUAAGCACCGGCUAACUUCGUG
rnacentral:rRNA from 1 species